ensembl:snoRNA
GAGCAUGUCCCCGAGGUCUGUGGCUCCUGUGGCCCUCUGGUCUCCAAGUGCAUGCAAGAGCAACGUGGAGAGACUGACAGCUCAGGUCAGCAAAGGAUCUGCAGCUGCCACUUGCCUUUCCUAAAAAA